rnacentral:rRNA from 2 species
GACGUAGGAGGCGAGCGUUGUCCGGAUUCAUUGGGCGUAAAGAGCACGCAGGCGGUUUGGCAAGUCGGAUGUGAAAACCCGGAGCUCAACUCCGGGCGUGCAUCCGAUACUGCCCGACUAGAGGUAGGUAGGGGAGAUCGGAAUUCCUGGUGUAGCGGUGAAAUGCGCAGAUAUCAGGAGGAACACCGGUGGCGAAGGCGGAUCUCUGGGCCUUACCUGACGCUCAGGUGCGAAAGCUAGGGGAGCAAACAGG